GAUGAAGAACGCAGCGAAAUGCGAUACUUGGUGUGAAUUGCAGAAUCCCGUGAACCAUCGAGUCUUUGAACGCAAGUUGCGCCCGAAGCCAUUAGGCCGAGGGCACGCCUGCCUGGGCGUCACACGUCGUUGCCCCCCCAUCUACUCCUUCGGGAUUGCGGGGGGCGGAUGAUGGCCUCCCGUGCGCCUCGCCGCGCGGUUGGCAUAAAUGCCAAGUCCUCGGCGACGCACGCCACGACAAUCGGUGGUUGCGAAACCUCGGUUGCCCGUCGUGUGCGGUCGUCGCGCAUCGAGGGCUCGAAAAAAUUGCCGGGUUCCGGCUCGGCUUUCAACGCGACCCCAGGUCAGGCGGGGUUACCCGCUGAAUUUAAGCAUAUCAUAAGCGGAGGA
rnacentral:misc_RNA from 1 species